rnacentral:rRNA from 1 species
GUCUACAGUCAUGCUACCCUGAACAUGCCUGAUCCCGUCUUAUCUCGGAAGCUAAGCAGGGUCAGGCCUGCUUAGUACUUGGAUGGGAGACCACCUAGGAAAACCAGGUGCUGUAGGCG